rnacentral:misc_RNA from 1 species
GGAAGAUGAAGGUGAGGCCUUGAAGGAUGCUAAAAAGCCUUCUACCAAAGCUGUGAAAGCCUGAAAACAUGAGUAGAAUGUAAUCACAGGAAAUGUAGCCUACACUGUCCGUCUCAAUAACCGAUCUCUUCCUCAUGAAUUUGUGCCUCCAGGUGCUCGUUACGAGUUCAACCAGCUGUAAUCUAUUGUCAAUGUAUCGUUUUAUGAUUAAUACUUUGACUAGGAUAUCGUAGAAUUAUAAAUGCAAGAUUACUGCUUGUAUAAACACAUUUGUAGUUUUUGUUUCUGUCAACUUAUUUAGCUGCCCUGGAUCAUGGAUUACAAGUACAAAUACUGUAGUCAAAAUCAACAUCCAUUUGUGACCAUGUAAGGCUGUUUUCUUAUUUAUUUUUGUGGGCUGGGAUUUUCCAAGUCUAACUAGUGUUGGAACUUGAAACUGUCUUUGUUAGUGAAUC